UCUUCUUUUAAACUUGAUUUCGAACUGUAACUUACUAAUGUUUGGUAAUGCCCUGCCUUUACUUGACUGUUGUGUUUAAACUGGUAGCCACACACUUGCUUAGGCUUACCUCAGUUUCCAUAUGAACUGGACAAUUCAACUAAAGUUAGCUCUUCAAAUAUUGAACAGUGAUUAAUAUUUUCUUGGAAGAUCUUUCAAUGUUUCCAAAUGAACUGGGAGUUAUCAAUGUGCUGUAACCAAUCGUCUUAUCCAUACAAGUGUUGGAAAUCUGCAUCAAUUCAUCACGGACAGUAUACCCAUACUUCAAGCAAGCCUACCUUGACUAUUUCCUGGAGCCAACUUGAACACCACUAUCAUGUUGAAACCCUAGGAAUCAGCCAUCAACACCAGCUACAAUAACAAUAAUCGACAUCGAUUGUGAAGAUGAACCUCUCGAAUAGAUAAGAAUAUAAUAGUAGUGACAGAAAAGAUCAUAAAACGUGUCUACAUGUUCAAUUUACUGAUAUCAUAAACAAUAAAUUAGUAAUUGAUUAU